rnacentral:rRNA from 1 species
CAGUAGCCGCGGGAAUACGUAGGGUCCGAGCGUUGUCCGGAAUUAUUGGGCGUAAAGGGCGUGUAGGCGGCCUGGGGCGUCCCAUGUGAAAGGCCACGGCUCAACCGUGGAGGAGCGUGGGAUACGCUCAGGCUAGAGGGUGGGAGAGGGUGGUGGAAUUCCCGGAGUAGCGGUGAAAUGCGCAGAUACCGGGAGGAACGCCGAUGGCGAAGGCAGCCACCUGGUCCACUUCUGACGCUGAGGCGCGAAAGCGUGGGGAGCAAACCGGAUUAGAUACCCCCGUAGUCCCUGUCUCUUAUAC